rnacentral:lncRNA from 1 species
AGCGUUCAUAUCACUUCGGUCAAAAUAGGACAAAUCAUGCGAAGGAUAUAACGAGCAAUUUUGUAAAAUAAAUUUGUCAUAAUAUUUUACGGUUGCGAAGGAGAUGCGCUAACAAGGAAAACAGUGUUUGGGAGAUAACUCCUACAAAGAAAAGUAUUCGUUUACGCAGGGUAAAUUUCAAAAGCGCAUAAACUGUUCGAUAUCAUAUACCAAAUAUCUAAGCGACAUAUUGCGAAACAAAUGUUUAUCGCAAGAACAAAAUUAGGCGGAAG